rnacentral:rRNA from 1 species
AGAACGAACGCUGGCGGCAGGCUUAACACAUGCAAGUCGAACGAUGUAGCAAUACAUAGUGGCGCACGGGUGAGUAACACGUGGGAACAUGCCUUUCAGUUCAGGAUAACACCGGGAAACUGGUGCUAAUACUGGAUAUUCCCUCCGGGGGAAAGAUUUAUCGCUGAAAGAUUGGCCCGCGUUAGAUUAGGUAGUUGGUGGGGUAAUGGCCUACCAAGCCUACGAUCUAUAGCUGGUCUGAGAGGACGACCAGCCACACUGGAACUGAGACACGGUCCAGACUCCUACGGGAGGCAGCAGUGGGGAAUAUUGGACAAUGGGCGCAAGCCUGAUCCAGCCAUGCCGCGUGAGUGAUGAAGGCCUUAGGUUGUAAAGCUCUUUGUCAGGGAAGAUAAUGACGGUACCUGAAGAAUAAGCACCGGCUAACUUCGCGCCAGCAGCCGC